rnacentral:rRNA from 1 species
AGAACGAACGCUGGCGGCAUGCCUAAUACAUGCAAGUCGAACGAACUCUUCGGAGUUAGUGGCGCACGGGUGCGUAACGCGUGGGAAUCUGCCCUUGGGUUCGGAAUAACAGUUGGAAACGACUGCUAAUACCGGAUGAUGACGAAAGUCCAAAGAUUUAUCCGCCCAGGGAUGAGCCCGCGUAGGAUUAGCUAGUUGGUGAGGUAAAGGCUCACCGAAGGCGACGACUCCUUAGCUGGUCUGAGAGGAUGAUCAGCCACACGUGGACUGAGACCACGGCCCAGACUCCGUACGGGAGCAGCGAGGUAGGAAUAGUGGACAAGUGGACGAAAGCCGUAGACUCCAGACAAUCGGCCGGCGUGACGU